CCUACGGGUGGCAGCAGUAGGGAAUAUUGCUCAAUGGGCGAAAGCCUGAAGCAGCAACGCCGCGUGAAGGAUGAAUGCUUUGGGGUUGAUAAAUCUUUUUGUUAGAGCAAAAAAUGACGGUACCUAAAGAAUAAGCAACGGCUAACUCCGUGCCAGCAGCCGCGGUAAUACGGAGGGUGCAAGCGUUAUCCGGAACCACUGGGCGUAAAGAGCGCGUAGGCGGGAUAGAAAGUCAGUUGUGAAAUGCUUAGGCUUAACCUUAGAACUGCAGUUGAAACUGGUAGUCUAGAGUAUGGUAGAGGUAGGGGGAAUUCGUGGUGUAGCGGUGAAAUCCUUAGAGAUCAAGAGGAAUACUGAUUGCGAAGGCGAUUUACUAGAACAUAACUGACGCUGAGGCGCGAAAGCGUGGGGAGCAAACAGGAUUAGAUACCCUUGUAGUC
rnacentral:rRNA from 1 species